GGCGCUGUAGCCAAGUGGUUACGGCGACAGUUUCGAAUCGGGUUUCUCCCGCCUAAGCUGUUCCUCUUUGAGGGCGCAAGUUCAAAUCUUGCCGGCGUCG
rnacentral:tRNA from 1 species